rnacentral:lncRNA from 1 species
AACAAGGCUUUUGGCUGCAGCUUGGAGCUGUUGUUACAUAUUAGUGGCUCCAUAAGAUUAAGUAAUGAUUCUUGAUUUGGUGUAUUUUAUUUUUCCACUUUUAAUUACAUGGGUGAUUUUUUGAACUCUUGAUCUGGUGUACUCCUCCAAAGUCUGGAUAAGGUUUUAAAAAGGUUUUUAAAAAAAAAAAAUUGAGAAAUGUAUUAUGUUUAAGAAUUUUGUUAGUUUUUAAAACGUAUCUCAAUAUUAUAAAAAAAUGAAGCAUAGUGGGAUGGGCAGGC